GACGAACGCUGGCGGCGUGCUUAACACAUGCAAGUCGAACGCAGUGGCGCACGGGUGAGUAACGCGUAAUCAACCUGCCCUUCAGUGGGGGACAACAGUUGGAAACGACUGAUAAUACCGCAUACUGAUGGAUGGGAUUGCGUCUGAGUAGCUAGUUGGAGGUGUAACGGCCCACCAAGGCGAAGGUCAGUAGCAGGUCUGAGCGGAUGAACGGCCACAUUGGGACUGAGACACGGCCCAGACUCCUACGGGAGGCAGCAGUGGGGAAACUUCCGCAAUGGACGAAAGUCUGACGGAGCAACGCCGCGUGAGUGAUGACGGCCUUCGGGUUGUAAAGCUCUGUUAAUCGGGACGCGGUACCGGAAUAGAAAGCCACGGCUAACUACGUGCCAGCAGCCGCGGUAAUAC
rnacentral:rRNA from 1 species